GCGCUCCGGCGUGAGCGACAGACAGAUCAAGCCGCGGCCGUGCGUCGCCAUGAAGUUGAUCGCCGCCGGCGUCACGGCGCUCGCGGCCAU
rnacentral:antisense_RNA from 1 species